GUGCUCUCUUUGGCAGCACAUACACUGAAAUUGGAAAGAUACAGAGAUUGACAUGGUCCCUGCAAAAAGAUAACAGGCAAAUUCAUGAGGCGCUCCAUACUUUU